rnacentral:rRNA from 1 species
UUGAACGCUGGCGGCAUGCCUAACACAUGCAAGUCGAACGGCAGCGCGGGGGCAACCCUGGCGGCGAGUGGCGGACGGGUGAGGAAUGCAUAGGAAUCUGCCCGGUUGUGGGGGAUAACGUAGGGAAACUUACGCUAAUACCGCAUACGACCUUCGGGUGAAAGUGGGGGACCUUCGGGCCUCACGCGAUCGGAUGAGCCUAUGCCCGAUUAGCUAGUUGGCGGGGUAAGAGCCCACCAAGGCGACGAUCGGUAGCUGGUCUGAGAGGAUGAUCAGCCACACUGGGACUGAGACACGGCCCAGACUCCUACGGGAGGCAGCAGUGGGGAAUAUUGGACAAUGGGCGCAAGCCUGAUCCAGCAAUGCCGCGUGUGUGAAGAAGGCCUUCGGGUUGUAAAGCACUUUUGUUCGGGAAGAAAUCCGUGUGGUUAAUACCCGUACGGGAUGACGGUACCGAAAGAAUAAGCACCGGCUAACUUCGUG